rnacentral:rRNA from 1 species
ACUCCUACGGGAGGCAGCAGUAGGGAAUCUUCCACAAUGGGCGCAAGCCUGAUGGAGCAACACCGCGUGAGUGAAGAAGGGUUUCGGCUCGUAAAGCUCUGUUGUUAAAGAAGAACACGUAUGAGAGUAACUGUUCAUACGUUGACGGUAUUUAACCAGAAAGUCACGGCUAACUACGUGCCAGCAGCCGCGGUAAUACGUAGGUGGCAAGCGUUAUCCGGAUUUAUUGGGCGUAAAGAGAGUGCAGGCGGUUUUCUAAGUCUGAUGUGAAAGCCUUCGGCUUAACCGGAGAAGUGCAUCGGAAACUGGAUAACUUGAGUGCAGAAGAGGGUAGUGGAACUCCAUGUGUAGCGGUGGAAUGCGUAGAUAUAUGGAAGAACACCAGUGGCGAAGGCGGCUACUUGGUCUGCAACUGACGCUGAGACUCGAAAGCAUGGGUAGCGAACAGGAUUAGAUACCCUGGUAGGAUAGCG